rnacentral:rRNA from 1 species
CCCAGCUACGCCUCCUGCUAACCUGAACCCGCCCUCAUGUUUCCCAGUCACUGAGCCCGUAAUACAGGAUGACUCACGGCGCUAUGACUUGAGCCUGAUGCGAUCUAACACCUCCUCCAGUUUUUCUCUUGGUAAACACUUGUGUCCGUUGCGCCGGCGGAACGUUGCGCUGGACGCAACCUACGCACACGCUUGUGUAGUACAGAUAGAAGCCAGAAAAAAUGACCCGCGCGACGUGGCCCCCAUCCGUGUGUUCUCUCCCCACCUUAUCUCUUCGCCUCCUCUCGAAUCAUCUAUCUCUCUCGUCAAUUCCCCACGAGCUAGCCCCUGGUUCUCCAUGGCCGCCAUCAAUUUUGUUGCUGCGCUCAGCCAACCUCCUCCCCCGUCGUGGCUAGCGAACCACCUCCCAUUCCAACUCCGGCCAUCUCCACGACGCAUAGCGAGCGCGUUGCUCUGUUGCAGACCUCUCCCGCAGCGCCGCGGACCCCACGGGGCGGCUGGAGGUGCUGGGCGCGCUGGGCCGCCCGUGCUGUCUGCUGUGAAGCGCAUCGGGAGUUGUUGGACCUCCAGCGGCCGUGCUGCGACGAGCCACAGCAUCGACCAAAGCUGCGGCGGGGUUGCAUCAGGAUGCUGGAACCAACAAGAUCUGGUGCUGCUACCGGCCACGUCGCGUGCUGGAACCGGAGACCCCCGAUGCUACUAUCGGUUGCGUCUUCGGGAACACAAGCUGCGAUUUUUGCUGGAACCACUACUAAAAUUUGCUGGAACCACCAAAUCAUUUUGCUUCAACCAAGUACUCGAGGUUUUUGUGGUGGCAUUCAUGGUGAGCGGAGGCAGCCGAGGCGAGCGCGGUGGCAUGUGUGGCCGGCGAUGACAGCGGUACCAUGGCUGCAACGGCGACGACGGAAAAGCUGCUACUAGCGACCUAUUUUUUGCUGCGACUAACAGGAAAUUUGCUACCAGCGGGGAUGGAGAGAGCUGAUGUGAACGGGACUGCCGGAGGGCUGCGACGGUGGAGAUGGUGGCCAGAGGUGCUGGAAGACGGAGACACUUGCAGCCGGCGCAAUAGUUGAUGCGUGUGGGCUGCAUCUGGUCUGCGAUCCUCUUUUGUCGGGGGUAUCUGAACUUCUGAAGACCAGCGCGUGGACGAUGACGGCGACGUAUCUAACGACUGACAAUACUCUAGUCUAAUUUAAUCAGUCGGGUGCUAGGCGACCGGCCGAAAAUUGGGCCGGUGCGCCGGCGCCUAGCACUGGCCUUUUCUCUUUCUGAUGGUACAGGUACACCCGGCUCUUCGCCGCCGCCGUCGUCGACCUCGCCGUCACCUGCACCGGCCUCCUCGGGGCGUCGCCCUGCAACUGCGUCAUCACCACCACCUGCUACCUCGUCAGGUCGAACGGCUGCCACGACAGUCGAUUCUAUUGCCAUGGCGGACGUUCCAGCAACUCCCUCGUCCAGUAGAUCGGCUGCCACGACGGCUGAUUCUACUGCCCUAGCAGAUGAUCUGGCGCCUCGCGACAGAGCUACCUUGGCGGACCUUGACGCCCCCAGCCUGGCUGUUGCUGGGUCUGACGUCAUGGCGCCCGCCUCCCCGUUCAUGACUUGGUCUCCGCCCACAGCUUCUGCUUCGCCUUCUACACCAACGACAUCGACCACUCCGUCGUCCCCGCCUGCGCCUCGUCCGGUGCUGCCACCGGCGGCCUCGCAUCAGAUGGUGACCCGGCUCAAGAAUAAUGUCAUCAAGACGCUGAAACCGUCAGAUGGCACUGUUCGGUACGACCCGCGCCGUCGUGCGUUCCUUCCCGUGCCCACCUCGUCACGCCAGGCCCUCUCUGAUGAACGGUGGCGUGCCGCCAUGCUCGAAGAAUUUCGUGCACUUCAAGCAAAUAACACGUGGUCACUUGUUCCUCGGCCUCCCCGUCAAAAUGUCAUCGGUUGUAAAAUGGGUGUUCAAGGUGAAAGAGCAUCCCGAUGGCACCAUUGA